GAACAGUUCGUCUGCUUGAGAAGAGAGAAAUAGUUAACCUACUUUAGAAGUCGUGUUGACGUAAGCGAGAAUUAUUAAAAGGAAAUUAGUUUUUAUCAUUUAAAUAGCUCUAAGAAAGCAAAAUAAAUGUUUCUGCUACCGAUAUGACAAGGUACAAAUCAAAUGUUUUACUAUUCUGAUCUUCUGAAUCCUCAUUCUGCAGGUAUUGACCAAUGUUUCAAAAUGUUGGUAGUGAAACAAAACUUUGUUGUGGCUUUAUGAGGGGGCAGCACUUUUUUUUUACAGGUGGUUUAAACUUUCUACCUACGGCGUCAGAAAAGGAUGCGGUUGACAGUUUGACACUUGACAGACUACAGAACUGCGGUUGACCACUCCUGGUGUUAAACGGUUGCCAACGCCACCUAGUGCGCAAAUAGUAACAGCGAAUCAAGGCAAAUGGCGUUUCGAGAAAUAUUACUGCUAGAACACUAUUACCCAACGUCUAUGAUCACAUUAAAUAAGUUCAAAAUGUGAGGUUUCUUUUAGGUUUAAAUAAUGCUGAUAAGAAAAACAAAACUUUAGUGUGAGUUAAAAGUGCUUUACCGACAUGCGUCUGAUAUGCUGGAAAUCAGUUUUUUUACUCUUUGAUGAAACAGAGAAGCCCCAGUUUGGUUAAAAAUCGUGCACAUCAUCAUCAAUGUGGAUUGGUGGCGAAUACAGAACAGCAGAAUGGAUGAGUGAGAGCGGGCGGAAGGAACAAGGAAAAAGAGAGGAUCGAUUUGAAUCGGAAGGAUGUGAAGCAAAAGGGGGAAACGAAUGAUGCUGGAUCGCCUGUGUUUUCCAGGUGUCCUGGGAGGGAAUUCAUGAAGACGUUGAAAAAUAGAGACACGAUAAAUGAUCGCACAUACACAACGAACAUCGUGUACGUCAAAACAAACACACAGCACAGCACAAACAGGGUUUUCUAUUCCAAAUAAUAUAAAAAAAAAAAAAAAACAACGCGGCGGCAGAGGACAAAAUUAUUAUUAUUUCUUUUCUUUUUUUUUUUAUUUUUAUUUUUAUUUUUUUGUGUAAAAAAAAAAGGGAAAAUUUUAUCUUUUGAUGUGUGUAGACGAUUAUGAAAGGCCUUUCAAUUUUUCAAUAAAAAAAAAAGCUACGGGGAUAAUAUUCCAAAACAUACAAAAUAAAAGUGCAGAUGAUUCCCACAACCUUUCACACCAAACUUCUUUUAAAACAAUCUUUCGGUUCUCAAAGCCGGAUCUAUUGCCCGUGUCUGUGUGUGUUCACGUACACCAAAAGGGGGAAGGGAGAAGGGGGAGGGGUAUAUUAUCGACAAGAAAUGAACGGAAAAAAGCAACAUAUACGAUCAGAGGAAUAGGAAAGGAACCAUAAAGGAUAAGGAAGCUGAUUGAGUGUAAAAAGUACCAAAAAUAAGGGAUGUAUGGUCGAUCUACGGGUUCUAUUUUAGAAUUAAAGCUUGCUGAAAAGGAAAGGAAAUUUUCUGUCUGGCUUACGUUUUUUUUUUUGGUUUUUUUUUUUGUUUGUUUUUUUUGCCCAUUUCUCAGAUGCAUAUGAAAUAUUUACAAGGCCCUCCCUCACCCCCAUUAAACAAACAAAAAAGUGGUAGUUAAUUCUUUUUGGAUUACCCCCUCCCUU